rnacentral:rRNA from 1 species
AUUGAACGCUGGCGGAAUGCUUUACACAUGCAAGUCGAACGGUAGAGGGGGCAACCCCUCGAGAGUGGCGAACGGGUGAGUAAUAUAUCGGAACGUGCCCAGUCGUGGGGGAUAACGUAGCGAAAGUUACGCUAAUACCGCAUACGAUCUAAGGAUGAAAGCGGGGGAUCGCAAGACCUCGCGCGAUUGGAGCGGCCGAUAUCAGAUUAGGUAGUUGGUGGGGUAAAGGCCCACCAAGCCAACGAACUGUAGCUGGUCUGAGAGGACGACCAGCCACACUGGAACUGGGACACGGUGCAGACUCCUGCGGGAGGCAGCAGUGGGGAAUUUUGGACGAUGGACGCAAGUCUGAUCCAGCCAUUCCGCGUGCAGGAUGAAGGCCCUCGGGUUGUAAACUGCUUUUGUACGGAACGAAAAGGUCUCUCUUAAUACGGGGGGCUCAUGACGGUACCGUAAGAAUAAGCACCGGCUAACUACGUGCCAGCAGCCGCCGCAG